UUGUCUAGUCCCUAAAAACUGCCAGUGAGAGAGCUUCCAAAACUCCCCUGGAGAAUCAAGUGCUUGACUCCUCUUACUACACAAGCUUCUCCUAGUAUCCAGUAUCUUAAAUCUUCCUGCAACUUAACCCUAGCCUCAGUGCACAUAGAAAUGUUUUUUUUUUCUGUUAGCUAGAGGGCGGCUGAGAAGAGUAUUUGAAAAAUGCUGCCCUGUCACUUCCUUUCUCGUCUGCCCCAGACUAAACAAAUCAAGGUCUCUUACGCUUUCUUCAUACAUCACGCUUGCUAGCUCUGUGGUGAUUUGGGGUGCUUUGCUUUGGACUGUCUCCAGCUUUUCCACGUGCUUCUUCACAGUGGUCAAGGCCGGGAGCAGCACCGCAGCGGAGCCGUGUCCCUGCGGAGCAGAGGAUAAGUGCCAUAAUUGCCAACUCUUUGAGGUGUGGAUGGUUUGCUCUUGGAUACACGGAGCUGUACUGUACAGAUACAGCAAUGAUAAUGUUGCUUCUCCAUCCAUGAAGAAAAAUUUCACAAUUUUUGUUUCAAGUUUGUCUCUGCAUAAUGAACUUCUCUGAACUAAAAGUAAAAUAGCCAGUCCCCACUGUGCCUUUGCCAUGUAAGCACUGGGAUACUCACUGCCUGCAACAACCUCUUCUUUCCUUCACCACAAAGUAAGAAUCAGCAGGGAAAACUUUCAAAACUGCUCUGGCAUACAUCUUCCAGAGAUGCAAAAAAGCUGGAAGUUUCUUUCUUCUUUGCUGCGUCCAGACACAGCAGCAAUUUUCUGACCAUGAAAAGGGUGUGUUCUGGUACCUACCCAAAUUUAGAAGGAAUGGCACUUCUGCCAGUUGAGCCUGUAAGCUUUCAGACAUCUGAGCACCAGAAGAAACUGCAGCUGAGAGCAAAUGCUGCAAAACGAUGCUGAAAAUGCUCUCUGAGUUCAGUGAAAGUGCUUGUUCCUGUUGGGAAAAUUCUGAAAUGAAUUAGCAAAAAGUCACAAUGAAAGGGAAGAGCUUUUGCAUGCAUAUCUGAAGCGAUGAUGGCAUGCAAGAGACAAAAAAAGGACAGUUUAAUCACCGCCUGCUAACCUGAAAAAAAAAAAAGAAAUUGCAUCAUGGCUAACAUGUGGUAUGUCAUUUUGGUGGCUUUUUUUUCGUUUUCUCUGCUUUGAAGAGAACUUUGGGGGAAAGGAGCAAAUAUGUGACAAGCAGCAUAUGCAAACUGUAAGGUGGAAGUGGUAAAUGAAUAAGACCACAUUUGGAAGAGGCAGAUGGUGCUUUUCUUGAUCAUAUGGUAGCACUGGCAACAGAAAUGUUUUGGAGUUAGGGAAGCGGGGAGGCCAGACGCAGUUCCUAAAUGCACGAUGAUUUAUUUGUAGAACAUGCAGAAAUGCAGGGAACAAAAACAUUCAACAGCCCUUGGAGACGUGCAUGAACAUGAUACAUUUACAUGUGGUUUACACUGAACUCCUGGCAGCUCACAUGGGAUCUUUGAUUAGGAAGUCUUGGUUUGGCUGAUGACAUCUCCCAGCAUCUCUUGUCGCUGUUGCCAGUUUUUCCUUCUCUGGUACCUGUUCAGCUCUUGGUGUGAUCUCGUGUCAGCCAAAAUUGUGCAUUCAAAGCCUUUAUCUGUGCUCAUGGUAUUUGUAUGCUGGUUGUUUGCAGAUUAACCUUCAGUCCGCUAGACAUUUAUUCUUGAUUAACAGGUGCAGCCAUAUGCCUGAAUGGCCAAAAGCCUGGAUGUUGGGCUGGCUUAUCUUCAUGCUGGAAGGAGGAAUAGUGCAGUCCAGGCAUAGAAAAUGGAUAAAAUCUCAUCGUGUGCUCAGGAGGAAUAUAUAAUGAAAAGUAUGAUUUAUAAAAAUUAUCUGCUGGAGGAAACAACUUUCUGCAAUUUCGUAUUUUUAUAAUUACUUAAGCAGCAAUUCAUGUCUGUUACUACUGAUAAUACAUAAUCACAAGGUCUUUUUGAAGAGCAGUGCAGCAAGAGAAUAAUUAAACCUAAUUACCAUUUGUUUGAUUGCUAUGUUGUUCUAGGAAACUUUGUUUUUCUGCUUUUUAUUGUAGCAUAAACAGUAAAUCUUAAAUCCUUUUAACUGCUGAGUGUCUGAGUAUACAAAACUAAAUUUUUGUAGCAGCACAUGAAAGGUAUACGCUGCACAAAAUCCUUUCCAGAAUAUGGGAAACAAAUGCUUAGAGUUUAACAGGAAAAAAAAAAAAAAAAAAAA